GAUGGCGUGUGUAUGAGUGAUUGAGUGUCCAACAUGCAUCCUGCCACUGAGGUGCAUUUUUGGACAGACUGAACACCUCUGGACGACUACUGUUUCAGACUGAUAGCAGCACCGCAGACCCUCAUCAUCAGACAGACACAGGGAAAGGACACUGAUCCAAUCUUGGCAAAAAUGAGCUUGGCUCGGAUCCAUGAUAAACACAAGCUAAAGAAAUACUGGGAGGAGAAAAUCGAACGUCACAGCGAUAUAAUGGGGAGUGAGGAAUCCAGAAUGAAGAGCAGUGCCUUAUCAAAGCUGCGGGACGAGUGGCUCAGGAGGCUGAAGCUUCGGAACCAGCAGCUGGAGCAUUUCGAAGAGAAACACAUCAGGAGGGCCAAGAUGUCCCAACAGGCCUUCAAGAUACCCAGUCAAUGACUACUCGAAUCUACAUUCUAGAAUCUACAUCAUUCUAAGCCAUCUGACUGAGGUCAUGACAUGUAGAUUAGCCUGGCUGCCAUCUCUUGUUCAGAUACUACAUUCCACUCAUUGCAACUCCUGUCAUUUGCCAAAGACAAUCUUUGGCAAAUGACGGGAGUGACAAGGAGUGGAUUAUUAGCUAAAAAAAAGACUGGUACUCAGACUAAUGAUGUAGGGUUAACUAGGACUAGCUUCUCCAUUUCAGAUGAUGACAUUACGACUAUAGAUUGAGGGGAAAUACUGUAACUGAAGUGAAGUUUACUUCUUGCGAGGGAGACGGUAUGGCAGAAAGUCAAAUGGAUGGGAUGUCGCCGAAUGAUUAGUUGCAGAGCCAUGCUGUACAGACUUUGUCAUUAACACUCGUGUCGUAGUUUUGAGGCGACCAUCUGUUGUGCAGUUAAAUAAGUGCAGGGGAGUAUGUGAAGACUUGACUGUACAUCAGAGUGACAGUCGUGGUGACUGGUGGGGUAAUUAUUUGAUUUUUGUGUCGGAGGAAUAUACAACGUGAUCGGGAGGAAACAUGAUGAAGAUUGACAGAAUAUGGUAUGGUUUUUUUUUUUCAAGAAAGAAAAGUAUGGAAAGUUCAGAGAAACCAUAGAAAUGUGUUAAUGUCCCAAUUUCCGGGCUUAAAUAUAGAUAGAAUUUCAUCAUGUUUAACAUAAUUUAUCUGCAACAUUAAAAGAGAGGGGAAAGCAUCUCUUCUGAGGCAUGUGAAAUGUAAAGAACUCAGAACUCAUUUGAGUUUUUUUUUAAAUGCAUGUGGACAGUUUCAGAGGUUUCUGAGAGAUGUGUUCCGGCCAGGUUACACUGCAGGCGUAGUUCCUUUAUCUGAGGGGAGAAGUUGGUCUUUCAGUCAUCAGUUUAACAAAACAUUAGCAUUGUGCUUUGAAUUGACACUAUGUCGAUGUGUUUUAGGGUGUCUGCUUAUGUCUUGGUGUUAAGACGAGCUGUGAAAGGGAGUGCUGUUAGCUUCAUCUUCUUUUCAGUUUGAUGUGAUGAACAAAGAAAUGUCCAAAAAAAAACAUCCUACAGCAUCACCAUGAUCCUACAUCCUACCGCAUCGCCAUGAUCCUACAUCCUACAGCAUCACCAUGAUCCUACAUCCUACAGCAUCACCAUGAUCCUACAUCCCACAGCAUCACCAUGAUCCUACAUCCCUCAGCAUCACCAUGAUCCUACAUCCUACAGCAUCACCAUGAUCCUACAUCCUACAGCAUCACCAUGAUCCUACAUCCUACAGCAUCACCAUGAUCCUACAUCCCUCAGCAUCACCAUGAUCCUACAUCCUACAGCAUCACCAUGAUCCUACAUCCUACAGCAUCACCAUGACCAUAUUUGAGAAGUGUACAAUCAUACAUUAUCAAUGGCCAAGGAGACAGCUUCUGAUCAAAAUAGAAAUGAUUGGACCGAAAGUACAAGAUUGGGAGAUGGUACAGUAUAACAUUACGGAGUAUGGCAUUACAGAGUCAUUUACUCCUGAGGUGCUGACCUGUUGCACCCUCUAUAACGACAGUGAUUAUUAUUUGACCCUGCUGGUCAUCUACAGUGCCUUGAGAAAGCAUUAAUGCCCCUUGACUUAUUCUAUGUUCUGUUGUGUUACAGCCAGAAUUCAAAAUGGAUUCAAUUAAUUUCUCUCUCUCUCUCUCUCUCACCCAUCUACACACAAUACCCCAUAUUGACAAAGUGAAUGCAUGUUUUUAGACAUUUUAGCUAAUUUAUUGAUAAUGAAAUACAGAAGUAUCUCCUUUACAUAAGUAUUCCCGCCCCUGAGUCAAAACUUUGUAGAAGCACCUUUGGCAGCGAUUACAUCUGUGAGUCUUUCUGGGUAAGUCUCCAAGAUUUUUCCAUACCUGGAUUGUGCCCAUUAUUCUUCUCAGAAUUCAUGUUUUGCAAUAUGUUUAUUCUGUAAAGGCUUCCUUUUUUUCCCACUGUUAUGCAGGUUAGUAUUGUGGAGUAGCAACAAUGUUGUCGAUCCUUCCUCAGUUUUCUCCUAUCACAGCCAUUAAACUUUUAAAGUCGCCAUUGGCCACAUGGUGAAGUUCCCUGAGCGAUUUCCUUCCUCUCCGGUAACUGAGUUAGGAAGGACGCCUGUAACUUUGUAGUGAUUGGAUGUAUUGAUACUUCAUUCGAAGUGUAAUUAAUAACUUCACCAUGCUCCAAGGGAUAUGCAAUAUCUGAUUUUCUACCAAUAGGUUCCCUUCUUUGCGAGGCAUUUGGAAAAACUCCCUGGUCUUUGUGGUUGAAUCUGUGUUUGAAAUUCACUGCUCGACUGAGGGACCUUACAGAUUAUUGUAUAUGUGGAGUACAGAGAUGAGGUAGUCAUUCAAAAAUCAUGUUAAACACUAUUGCACACACAGUGAGUCCAUGCAACUUACUAUGUGACUUUUAAGCACAUUUUUACUCCUGAACUUAUUUAGGCUUUCCAAAACAUAGGGGUUGAAUACUUAUUGACAAGACAUUUCAGUUCUUGUUUUUGUUCUUUCAUUUGUAAAAGUUGCAAAAAACAUAUUCCACUUUACCAUGAUGUGUUAUUGUGUGUAGGCCAGUGACAAACAAUAUCAAGUUAAUCCAUUUUGAAUUCAGGCUGUAACACAACAACAUGUGGAACAAUUCAAGAUGUGUGAAUACUUUCUGAAGGCACUGUAAGUGUAACAGAGAUAAGAGUUUUAGGACACAAACAGCUUAAAACUAAAAGCAAUGCAGGCAACAUUCCAAGCAUGGACUGAACGUCCAACCGUCCUUUG